rnacentral:rRNA from 1 species
AAUGAACGUUGGCGGCGUGGAUUAGGCAUGCAAGUCGAGCGGGUGUAGCAAUACACCAGCGGCGAAAGGGACAGUAAUGCGUAGAUACGUACCCUCCGGUCUGGGAUAGCUCGCCGAAAGGCGGGGUAAUACCAGAUGACGUCUCCGGACCAAAGGUGUGAUUCCACCGGGGGAGCGGUCUGCGUCCUAUUAGCUUGUUGGCGGGGUAAUGGCCCACCAAGGCAAUGAUGGGUAGCGGGUGUGAGAGCACGACCCGCGUCACUGGGACUGAGACACUGCCCAGGACACCUACGGGAGGCAG